GUUAGGAAUAUUGGACAAUGGGCGCAAGCCUGAUCCAGCCAUGCCGCGUGAGUGAUGAAGGCCUUCGGGUUGUAAAGCUCUUUAGCCGAUGAUUAUAAUGACUGUAGUCGGAAAAUAAGCCCCGGCUAACUUCGUGCCAGCAGCCGCGGUAAUACGAAGGGGGCGAGCGUUAUUCGGAAUCACUGGGCGUAAAGCGUGCGUAGGCGGCUUUGCAAGUUGGGAGUGAAAGCCCAGGGCUCAACCCUGGAAUUGCUCUCAAAACUGCAAGGCUCGAAUUCGGGAGAGGAUAGCGGAAUUAUCAGUGUAGCAGUGAAAUGCGUAGAUAUUGACAGGAACACCAGUGGCGUAAGCGGCUAUCUGGACCGAUAUUGACGCUGAGGCACGAAAGCGUGGGGAUCAAACAGGAUUAGAUACCCGAGUAGUCC
rnacentral:rRNA from 1 species